CGGAGAGGGGAGAGAGAAGAACCCAAUGCCCAAGCUAGCACAUCACGAGGCGGACGCUGAGGCCGAGAACAACCGCACAAGAUAACCCGGGACCGGAGAAGGGGAUCGCUCUGGCGAAUGGCCCAAUCCGUUCCUCGGACUGCUUUCUGAACUGUUGGCAUGGUUCAUCCUAGGUUCCUUGUUGCUUGUUCAGGCUCUAAAUUGUGCUUCAUCUCCAAUUGUUGCAGUAACUUCAAGAGCAUGAUUGGCGGUUCGACGAUGGAAUCUUUACUGCUGAUGGAUUUGAAUCAGAAACCUCAAUGCAGUUGAAGCCUCCGUGCAGAGUCAGAGUUAGUUGUUACUAGAACAAUUGCAACAGUUUUGGAGAUUGAAAGUAAUAGCUGAAGGGGUCAUUGGAAGAUCCAAAUUAGCGCAUUUUAGGAGAAACUUCAAGUUUGUUCUCCUUUUGUUGAAGGUACAUUGUGAUGGGUUUGCCUCAGGUUCCUGCAAUUAAGGAGGAGGAGCCUCCUAAGCUGAGUACAUGUGUAGUUAGUCCUUGUUUUGGUAGUAGUGAUAAUAGUGAUUUGGGCAGGCUUCCCACCGGAGGCUCAAAUAACAGGGCAUUUCAAUACCCAUCCAUCAGCGAUCUGAAGAGAAAAGCUGCGUUAGAUUCUCUGAAUGGUUUUGAUGGAAAUUUUGGAGCCAGCCAUGCUGUCGAUGGGCCUGCAGGCUCCCAAGGCCUAAAACCUGAUUUGAGGAAUCCAACUUCUAGAUCAUGCCCUAAGUUGCGACCUUCUGUUCAGAUGCCUGCGAGGAGAGUUAUUGGGUUUGAAUCAGGUUUUGCUGGUUUCAAGGGAGAUUCUGAUACAAUGGUAGCUGACAAAAUGCAUUCAUCUUUAGUCAUCAACACUUGCCAUUCAUCUAUUGAACAGCAUGGGCCUCAAGCAAGGAAAAGGGUGUUAUCGCCUUUAACUAAUGUGCUCCAUGGACACUUCAGCGGCGAUGCGCUAAAUAUUGGUUCUGCUGAUGCCCAAAUGCAGCAUUCUGACCAAGUUAGGCAAUUUUGCAGCUCUGGAUUUCAAGAUUGUAAAAAAGCCCACACUGCGUCUCUUGACUCGUUUGAGUCACCUACUUGGCCAGCCUUCAGACACUCCAGUUGGAGCAAAACACAGGUAGUUGAUAAGUUUAGCAGUAAUAUAUUCACCGAUGGUCCUUUGGUUGAGGGCAGGGAGUCAUAUUCUUGUUCAGUUCACCUAGAGGCCGAAAGGAUUGUGAAUCUCAAAAGGGUUGCAGUAGCUGUCCCACUACCAAAAUUAGCUCAUUCCCCUCCGCUCAGCUUGUCCCCUCUCGGCCCAAAAUGGAUGCAGAGAGGGAAGAAUGUGGGGGCUCAGAGAGAUUUAGCCAGAGAAAUCGAAAAUGAUUUUCUAGACUUGAAGGAAACGGAAAUAUCGAUAGGUGAAAAUGUUUCUGAACAUGGCGAUAGAAUCAGGGCAAGGGAUGCAACAGGAAAAACUACUAUCUUGCAUGUUAACUUUGAUACGAUGAUCCCUAAGAGGUGUUCAGAUAGAAGACUCCAAAAUUGGGUCCCAGAAUCUGCCCCUGUAUCCCCACGCAUUGGAUGUCUCCGGGGUUUAAGCCUCUUUCCUGUAAGAAGGUCACUAGUUGGCUCCUUCGAGGAGUCCCUUUUAUCUGGUCGCUAUUCGUGUGGAAAAGAUAAGCAGAAUAUUGAUGGUUUUCUGUCUGUCCUGAAUGUGACUGGCGGCAACUUCUCUCCCCCAACUCAGAAGCUUCCAUUUGCAGUAACCAGCAUUGAUGAGGAUAGCUCCCUGCUGUACUACUCGUCGAUUGAUCUUGCUGGGAGGUUGCCUACUAACAACAGCAAAAGCCCAAAACUUAAAAGAAGCUCCAACAAUAAUGAUUCAAGAUCAUCGAGAAGUCGCUUACACAUCCCAAUUAAAGGGCGCAUUCAGCUGGUCGUCAGUAACCCAGAGAAGACACCGCUGCACACCUUCUUUUGCAACUAUGAUUUGAGUGGCAUGCCUGCUGGAACCAAGACUUUCGUGCGGCAAAAGGUCACUCUAUCAUCUGUUCCCCCUUCUAAUCCAGUGAAGGAAGGAAGCGAUGCCAGUCACACAAAGGUCGAGUCAGUCCAAUAUGGAAGUGAACUUAGAGAAUGCGGCACUCUGUUUUCUGAAUGCUGUGAACAGGGGCAGAACUGCUACUCGACUGAUGAAUCAGAGAAGGGAGGUCACACAAACAGAACAUGUUGCUCAAUGGAAUGUGACAUUAGUGAAUCAAAUGAAUUGAGUCCCAUUGGGAGCUCAGGAAGUCGCACUAAUGCUAAUGGUUGCUGCUGUCAAAUAGACAGUGAAAAGAAAUCUUGCUGCAAACCUUCCAAAGUGAAUGAUAGUUCAGCUGGAGGCGUUCUUCGUUAUGCUUUGCACCUGCGUUUUCUGAGCCCCUUUUCCAAGAAAUCAUCAAGAUCGAUGCAGCGGACCAAACCUGGCAUGUCAUCAGAACCACUCAAUCGGAGUACCGCUACAGAGGAAGAGAGGCGAUUUUAUCUCUACAAUGAUAUUAGAGUUGUCUUUCCUCAAAGGCACUCAGAUUCAGACGAAGGCGAGAAAGUGCAUGCCGAGAAGGCCAAAAACUUGCAAGACCAAGAACCGUAGCAAAAUUACAAAGGCCAACAAACCGAACAAAAUUGGAAUUGGCAAAAACAACAAGCCUGCACAGCACUACAAAAAUGCAAAAAAGAUCAGCAGAAAAGGGUUGGCGCAGGCAAAGCUAGCGGAGAAUCCUAGGGUGCAGUGGCAGCCUCCACAGGGCCUUGACAUGUGGAUAGUAUUCUAGAUUUCCCAAAAUUGCUGAUUAGGAUGCUGCGGGUUGAGCACGACUUCCCUGCUGAUCCCAAGUACUUCGACAUAAGCAACUGAUGCUUGAACACCUAACAUGAAAUGUGUACAUAUCAUGCCAUCACUAACUUGUCAGUUAGUCUCUUGUGUUUAAUACCAUGUACAGUAUUAAUAAUUGCAAUGGAAUAUCCCAUUUCUUCCAA